GGAGCUUGCUCCCUGAUGUUAGCGGCGGACGGGUGAGUAACACGUGGGUAACCUGCCUGUAAGACUGGGAUAACUCCGGGAAACCGGGGCUAAUACCGGAUGGUUGUCUGAACCGCAUGGUUCAGACAUAAAAGGUGGCUUCGGCUACCACUUACAGAUGGACCCGCGGCGCAUUAGCUAGUUGGUGAGGUAACGGCUCACCAAGGCGACGAUGCGUAGCCGACCUGAGAGGGUGAUCGGCCACACUGGGACUGAGACACGGCCCAGACUCCUACGGGAGGCAGCAGUAGGGAAUCUUCCGCAAUGGACGAAAGUCUGACGGAGCAACGCCGCGUGAGUGAUGAAGGUUUUCGGAUCGUAAAGCUCUGUUGUUAGGGAAGAACAAGUGCCGUUCAAAUAGGGCGGCACCUUGACGGUACCUAACCAGAAAGCCACGGCUAACUACGUGCCAGCAGCCGCGGUAAUACGUAGGUGGCAAGCGUUGUCCGGAAUUAUUGGGCGUAAAGGGCUCGCAGGCGGUUUCUUAAGUCUGAUGUGAAAGCCCCCGGCUCAACCGGGGAGGGUCAUUGGAAACUGGGGAACUUGAGUGCAGAAGAGGAGAGUGGAAUUCCACGUGUAGCGGUGAAAUGCGUAGAGAUGUGGAGGAACACCAGUGGCGAAGGCGACUCUCUGGUCUGUAACUGACGCUGAGGAGCGAAAGCGUGGGGAGCGAACAGGAUUAGAUACCCUGGUAGUCCACGCCGUAAACGAUGAGUGCUAAGUGUUAGGGGGUUUCCGCCCCUUAGUGCUGCAGCUAACGCAUUAAGCACUCCGCCUGGGGAGUACGGUCGCAAGACUGAAACUCAAAGGAAUUGACGGGGGCCCGCACAAGCGGUGGAGCAUGUGGU
rnacentral:rRNA from 1 species